AGGAAAAAGAGAAAAGAAGUGUGGUGUGUAAGAACAUUUACAGAACAAGUGACUCUGCAAUCCAAGGUUUCGCUGUAUUUAAAGUGGAGAGAAAGCGAGAGAAGCAUCAGCAGUACCGAGUAUUUGGAUGCAGCUAUUCGGUUGCUAUCAAGUUUUGAAUACAUUUUGGGUUCCGUGUUGAUGGAGGAAGGAAAUAUCCAGGUUGUUUCACUGAUGCUUACUGGUGGAAAAGGAUAUGAAUAAGAAAUAACUCCAGUAAUUUUACCCCUCCAUUAAAACCCAUCACUUUGGCACUUCUGAGGUUGUGAGUCGGGGGUCUGUCCCCUGCAUCACAGUUGCCUCCUUUCCAAAUGGACGACAAGCAGGUAUAAAAUGCUGUCUGACCCGGGACAAUAGCUCAGAAUAGUACAUGCCACUUGGUGGAUUAAAAAUUUAUAAGAUAUUUUUCCAUCUCUGCUUGGAAUACAACUGAAUAUAUUCUUGUCUCGUGGAAAGGGAUUUCUUAGUCAGAGCUGAAGAGAUGUGUAACACCUUAAAUUCUGUGGGGUUUGCCUUCCUAAUUAUAUUACACAAGAA